rnacentral:rRNA from 1 species
UACGUAGGCAGCGAGCGUUGUUCGGAGUUACUGGGCGUAAAGGGUGUGUAGGCGGUUCUUUUAAGUUUGGUGUGAAAUCUCCCGGCUCAACCGGGAGGGUGCGCCGAAUACUGAGGGACUAGAGUACGGGAGAGGAAAGUGGAAUUCCUGGUGUAGCGGUGAAAUGCGUAGAUAUCAGGAGGAACACCGGUGGUGUAGACGGCUUUCUGGACGGUAACUGACGCUGAGACGCGAAAGCGUGGGGAGCAAACAGG